GAUGAACGCUGGCGGCGUGCCUAAUACAUGCAAGUCGAACGAAGAGUUUUUGUAGUAAUACAGAAGCUUCUUAGUGGCGAACGGGUGAGUAACGCGUUGGUGACCUGCCCCAAAGUGUGGGAUAACAGUCCGAAAGGAUUGCUAAUACCGCAUGUGGUAUUCGGAAUUAGAACCCGAUUACUAAAGGAGUAAUCCGCUUUGGGAGGGGCCUGCGUCCCAUCAGCUAGUUGGUAGGGUAAUGGCCUACCAAGGCGUCGACGGGUAAGGGGCCUGAGAGGGUGGCCCCUCACAAUGGAACUGAAACACGGUCCAUACACCUACGGGAGGCUG
rnacentral:rRNA from 1 species